UUGGUGGUAGAAGCGCUUCCGCAUUCAACACAUGCAUAUGCCCCUGUCCGUGGAGGUUACUGUGAACAAAACAGCGUGUCCAAAGCAACCACAUGUCUGGCUGAAUGAUCUAGCAUGGAAUAACAAGGCAUCGACCACUGGAGUCAGCCUUUUUGUUGGUUUUACAUGACCCAGUUGGGCAAUGCAGGGCUUGUGCUUCAUUGAGGUUCUUAGUCAGCUCUACCGAACUGUCUUCCCUCAGUUGGACCUUGUUCCCUAUCGGGAUCAAUGGAAGCCAUCGGGGUGGUAUGUAUUCCGACGUGAGCGGUGAAAUGCUUAGACCGUUGGAAGACAAACGACAGCGAAGGCAUUCCGCCAGAAUGUUUUCAUUAAUCAAGAACGAGAGUGUGGGGAUCGAAGAUGAUCAGAUACCAUCGUAGUCCAUUACCGUAAACUAUGCCAACUCGGCAUUGGGAGUCUGUUCACUUUGAAGACUCUCCCAGCAUCAUCCCCCAAUAACGAGAAAUCCAAGUCUAUGGGUUCAGGGGGGAGUACAGUCGCAAGGCUGAGACUUAAAGGAAUUGACGGAAUGACACCACAAGGCGUGGAGUAUGCGGCUUAAUUUGACCCAACACGGGGAAGCUUACCAGGUCAGACACAGUAAGGAUUGACAGAUUGAGAGCUCUUUCUUGAUCCUAUGGAUGGUGGUGCAUGGCCGUUUCUGGUUCGUGGAGUGAUCUGUCUGCUUAAUUGCGGUAACGAACGAGAUCUCUACCUCUAAAUAGGCGCCGGUCUCGCAUGUAAGUAGGGAUGUGUUGGGGGCCUUCGUGUCCCCUCAUGUCCUGAGAGUGCCGGGAUCGCUUCUUAGACGGACUGUGCAUGUCUUUAAUGCACGGAAGAGGGAGUCAAUAGCAGGUCUGUGAUGCUCCUAGAUGUUCUGGGCUGCACGCGCACUACACUGGCACAGUAAACGAGUUGCACCUGCUUCGGCAGUCCUGCUUAGAAGUGAGCGUGGGAAAUCUUAGAAAACUGUGCCGUGCUGGGGAUAGAUGAUUGCGAUUAUUUGUCUUGAACGAGGAAUGCCUAGUAGAGGUACUUCAUCAGAGUACCUUGAUUGUGUCCCUGCCAUUUGUACACACCGCCCGUCGUUGCUACCGAUUGGCUGUAAAAUAGAGGCCUUAAGAGUCGCUUCCGCAAAGCUUUGCUUUUGAGGUUGUGACAAAUCUGGCCAAUAUUUCAUUGCUAGAGGAAGCAAAAGUCGUAACAAGG
rnacentral:rRNA from 1 species